GUAGUGGUGAGAUCCCAUGCACCGCAGCUUGCUGUGUAUUGAGAGCUGGCUGCUAGAAGGGAGUGGCACUGUGAAUAGGGAACAAGGAGUAGAAGGCUUUGGCCCAGAUAUUACCCUCAGAAGACUUCCCCAGACCGAAUUAGGGAUGCUGGUGUGACCUCGCCUGGCAGCCUCCAAAGAAGGAAGUGGGUGGACUAAAUGGACAGUGCACCUCUCUAUCUGAAGCCUAGCAAGGGAGGCUUAUGCUCAACUAAAUUUGUUAGUCUCUAAGGUGCCACAAGUCCUCCUGUUCUUUUUGCAAAUACAGACUAACACGGCUGCUACUCUGAAAUCUGUCAAGGAGGGUGCAGUUAGAAAAACACCACAUUGUGGUUUUCUGUCCAGGAGGGCUGACUAUUUCCCCAAAGUGAGGACUUAGCCCCUGGAAACCUGAAGUGGUCACACGGGGACCUGGACCUCCUGCUUUUGCUGGAGGAUACAAGUCUGCCUCCGAUGACUCCGAAUAGGAGGACCAUGGAGGAGUAGUGCUCAUAGGUGCUGGUGAUCGGCGCUGUGGACUGGGGGACCAGUGUAGGUCCCCUGCGUGGGCGGUCCGUGCUGGGGAAUGAUGCACAGGCGAUGGGGAGUGCCACACCAUCAUUGCUGGCUUGCCCCUCGAUGGUACCGGUGGACGAAUCUGCACCAGAGACUUGUCACACCUUACGGAGGAAGAUGGCAGCGUGAGCUCCAGCAAGUCCUGAGCAGCUCAAACACCUCUGGUUGUUUCUCAUCCCGUGAGCCAUUGACCAGACACGCUUUGGGAUGAAGAACUCUGAGAUUGGGGUGAAGAAUCUUCCUGCCUUCCUGGGAGAGUCGACAUGGAGUGGCCUGCAGAAUGAUCAGUGAGUCAAGAAGCAGUUACCAAGAGGAAUCAGAAGAGAAUAUCUUCCUUCUCCUCCCCUAUUACUGCCUUGUACAUAAUGCACCAAACUCAUUGUGUGUGAGGAAGGGUGUUUGGUUUUCUUGUGAAGAUCAUACAUUGGACAACCAGAGACAGGACACCCAACUUGGACACUUAGUCUGAUCUGAUAUGGUGAAUCUUAAGAUAAAUAUUUUCCCACUUCAGAUUUCCGUUUCUAGAGGUUAUCUCCUAAACUGAAAUAAUUUGCUUCACAGUCAUGAAACAAAACUAAAUUAACACAAAAUCUCUCAACCAUUCUCAUCUAAAACAAACUUUUAAAGUAAAUGGCAGUGAUUUUCUUGUUGCUUUGUAUUGCCAAUUUGUAUGGUAAUGUGGUUUGUUUGGUAAUGAAAUAAGCAGCCUAUUACUUAACAGAAUUAUUUUACUACAGGUUUUAUGUAUUAAAAUUUUGUUUGAAUUA